GACGAACGCUGGCGGCGUGCUUAACACAUGCAAGUCGAACGCUGAAGCUCAGCUUUUGUUGGGUGGAUGAGUGGCGAACGGGUGAGUAACACGUGAGUAACCUGCCCCCUUCUUUGGGAUAACGCCCGGAAACGGGUGCUAAUACUGGAUAUUCACUUGCCUUCGCAUGGGGGUUGGUGGAAAGGUUUUUCUGGUGGGGGAUGGGCUCGCGGCCUAUCAGCUUGUUGGUGGGGUGAUGGCCUACCAAGGCUUUGACGGGUAGCCGGCCUGAGAGGGUGACCGGUCACAUUGGGACUGAGAUACGGCCCAGACUCCUACGGGAGGCAGCAGUGGGGAAUAUUGCACAAUGGGCGAAAGCCUGAUGCAGCGACGCCGCGUGAGGGAUGGAGGCCUUCGGGUUGUAAACCUCUUUCGCUCAUGGUCAAGCCGCAACAAUGGUUGUGGUGAGGGUAGUGGGUAAAGAAGCGCCGGCUAACUACGUGCCAGCAGCCGCGGUAAUACGUAGGGCGCGAGCGUUGUCCGGAAUUAUUGGGCGUAAAGGGGCUUGUAGGCGGUUGGUCGCGUCUGCCGUGAAAUCCUCUGGCUUAACUGGGGGCGUGCGGUGGGUACUGGGCUGACUUGAGUGCGGUAGGGGGAGACUGGAACUUCCUGGUGUAGCGGUGGGAAUGCGCAGAUAUCAGGAAGAACACCGGUUGGCGAAGGCGGGUCUUUGGGCCCGUUACCUGACGCUGAGGACGAAAAGCGUGGGGGAACGAACAAGAAUUAAAUACCCAGGUGUCCGAGGGCAAAUUCCCCAGGGGAAAUUAGCUUAUCGUUACCUUGACCUCAAAGGGAUAGACCAGAGCCCAACUUUUUUUCUUUUAGUAGGGGAGAAUCUAG
rnacentral:rRNA from 1 species